ensembl:lncRNA
CAUAGACUGGAGGGUCAGAACGUGGCCUGGUGACUGUGAAGCUGGACAUUUUCGUCUUAUUUGAAUUAAACGAUAUAGCUAGAUAGUUCAUUUCCUCAGCAGUCAUAUUUUAUUUAGUUAGACAGUAAACAAAUUCCCUCGAUGUGGCUAGCUAACGUUAGCAGCUUGCUAGCAAAGUAGGCUAAUUGUAGAGUAUGCAGGAAGCUCAUGUUGGCUAAGUAGUUAGCUAUAGCUACUUAAACGUUUGUAUGAAACUUUCAAUUUAUAAUUUCGACUUGAGGUAAAUAUUUCGUUUUAGCCUAUACCCAAGAGGGUGAACCUUUCUAUGGACACUGCUUAGCUAGCAAGUUACCUGGGGCAUUGCGGUGUCUGGCACGUUGUCUGAAACGUCUCCUAUGAUGUUUUGCACUGGGCUCUGAAAUUCUGUGGCGAAAAAGUGCUCUCUGGCUCUGACAGGCCCGAGUCUGAGGAUGCUCGCGUCUAAUGUAGUUAGUCUUGUCUGCUUGAUUGUAAGUUGCAGAUAUUGUCCUUAUGGGAGUCUUUUUCUAUUGUCCAAAGGUUACGAGUCUGUCAGAACCCACAAGGUGAGUGGUUUUCUUUCAUAUGUAACGUUACUUUGUUUUCCUAUGAUGUUUUGCACUGGGCUCUGAAUUUCUGUGGCGAAAAAGUGCUCUCUGGCUCUGACAGGCUUGAGUCUGAGGAGACUGAUAAUAAUUAAUCACAUAGGAUCCUUGUAGGUUGUGAUGUAAUUAUUUUCAGACAGUUUUCUCACUUUUUUUCAUGCAGUUCUUGGACCUCCACAGAAGAUGUGUGGUGACUGCAGUCUGUUAUUAACAUGGGGUGAGAUCUUCAAUGGAUAAUUUAGGGGCCUGUUUUGCACAAGAGGCACUGUUUUACCUGUAUUUCCAGCAUUAUCCAGCUGGUGUCACUUCAGUCCCUUUUUUGUUUCAAUCAAGCAGCUUCCCCAACAUGACCAAGAUUGCGAAACAAUAUCCCUUUUGCUAAUAAUUCUGUAGAUGUGGGAAGAAUUGUUAAUACCAGGGCUGACUCAGCAAUGGAAAUGUGCUGACCUAAAUGAGAUUAUUUUUUAUUUAUGUUCCUGAUUGUUAUGUAAGGCUGAAACAUUAAAAUAUUUUAAUCAGAUACUCUGUCAUGUCCUUUCUAACUUUACUGGUGAGCUCCCCCCAGCAGGUGUGUUUG